rnacentral:tRNA from 1 species
GCCUCUGUAGCUCAGUUGGUAGAGCAGCCGACUUUUAAUCGGCGGGUCCCAGGUUCAAAACCUGGCGGAGGCA